ACACGUGAGAGGAGGUGGUCCAGCGUUGAUUGUCAACCGGACUCGUGAGGUGGCUGUCCGCUAGCACCACAGGAUUCUUCCGACCGUUGUGGAGCCGGUGUGGUGCCGGCAAAUCCUCGACAGUCACCCGUGAUCCCCGGGCCCGAGCCCGUCCAGCUCGGUUCGCUCACCCGAUGGUGAGGCCCGGGGAUCACGCACGUC
rnacentral:sRNA from 1 species